rnacentral:rRNA from 1 species
UACGUAGGGAGCAAGCGUUGUCCGGAAUCAUUGGGCGUAAAGCGCGCGUAGGUGGCCUCAUAAGUCCGCUGUGAAAGUCAAAGGCUCAACCUUUGAAAGCCGGUGGAUACUGUGGGGCUAGAGUACGGAAGAGGCGAGUGGAAUUCCUGGUGUAGCGGUGGAAUGCGCAGAUAUCAGGAGGAACACCUGUGGCGAAAGCGGCGCACUGGACCACAACUGACGCUGAGGCGCGAAAGCUAGGGGAGCAAACAGG